UUCCACACUGUAAACUAGAGUUACUGAGGUCAGUCUUACUGGGUAUUCCAUACUGUAAAUUGUGGGUAGUGAGGUGAGUAUUACUGGGUAUUUCACACUGUACGCUGGAGAUAAUAAGGUGGAACAUAGCUAGUGAUUUCAAAAUAAAGCAGGAGUAUCAAAGUCUAUAGGUUGACUUAAAAAAUAACAUUAGACUCACUACAGUAAGUGGAAUGUCGAAAGGAAGAUUGCAUUGGAGGUUAAGGAUGACAUUAAAAGUUUCUUCCAAUAUUUUAACUCCAAAAGAACUCUAAAAGCUGAAAUCACUCAUCUGCAGGAUAGUAAGAGCCUUAUAAUUGAAAAUUAAAAUUUAUAUAGUAAAUGAGUUUAAUGAUUAUUUUACACGGGUGUUGACAGUAGAGGACAUGCUUAACUUACCACCAUUUAGUACAAAUACAGUGUCGUAUAUAAACAAUAUACAGUCCCUCCACAAUUAUUGGCCCCUUGUAAAGAUUUGUAAAAAGGGUUAGAAAAAAAUCCACCUUUUGGCGAAGCAGCUUCAUCUCACACUGAAAAAAUGAGAAAAAUUCAACCUUUCAUUGAAAUAAAUUUAUUCAAAGAAAAACAAAUCCUUCAUCAAGAAAUAAUAAUUUUCAAGAAAAACACAUGUGCCACGAUUAUUGGCAGCCCUGCUUUUAAUACUCUGUACAGCCUCCCUUUGCCAGUAUAACAGCACUGAGUCUCCUAUGACAUUUUAUAAGGUUGGAGAAUACAGAGCAGGGCAUCUGAGACCAUUCCUCUUUACAGAAUCUCUCCAGAUCACCCAGGGUCCUCGGCCCUCUCUUGUGCAUCUCCUCUUCAGCUCAGCCCACAGGUUUUCAGUGGGGUUCAGGUCAGGGGACUGAGAUGGCCAUGGCAGAAGCUUGAUUCUGCGGUCAGCUGACCAUUUUAUUGUUUAUUUGGACAUGUGCUUAGGAUCACCGUCCUGCUGGAAGAUCCAAUGAAGGCCCAGUUUUUGUUUCCUGGCAGCAGCAGCCAAAUUUUGAUAUAAAAUGUCCUGGUAUCUCAUGGACCCCAUAGUGCCAUGUACCCUAACAAGGUUUCCAGGGUUUUUGGAGGAAAAUCAGGAACCUCCACCAUAUCUUACAGUUGGGAUAAGGUUCAUUUCAUUAUAACCAUCCUUCUUUUUACGCUAAAUCCACCUUUAAUGUUUAUUGCCACAAAAGCAUUUUUGUUUAAUCAGGUAGUUGAAUUUGAUUCCAGUCAAUGUUGUAUAAUGUUUUGAAAACUCCUGGCACUAACAUUUUAAGUAACUGACAGAAAAAGCUUCUUUCUGUCAUACCUUUCAAAACGUCCAUACCUCAAUCCCCUCAUAAGUAUGUCUGCUAGGUGGAGUCGAAGGUGCAGUAUAAUCCUGUUAUAAUGGACUCGCUUGUAACGGAAUAUCGUCUAUAACAGACCAGGACUGCCGGUUGUGCACCUUUAAUUACAUGCAGAAAAAGCAUCGGAUAUAGCGGACUCGCAUAUAAUGCAGUGUGUGUGAGAGUGUCUGUGGCAGGGUACGCGUGUGUGAGAGUGUCUGUGGCAGGGUACAUGUGUGUGAGAGUGUCUGUGACAGGGUACGUAUGUGUGAGAGUGUCUGUGACAGGGUACGUGUGUGUGAGAGUGUCUGUGACAGGGUAUGUGUGUGUUAGAGUGUCUGUGACAGGGUACGCGUGUGUGAGAGUGUCUGUGGCAGGGUACGUGUGUGUGAGCGUGUCUGUGACAGUGUACGCGUGUGUGAGAGUGUCUGCGGCAGGAUAUGUGUGUGAGUGUCUGUGACGGUAAGUGUGUGUGAGAGUGUCUGUGACAGUGUACGCGUGUGUGAGAGUGUCUGCGGCAGGAUACGUGUGUGUGAGAGUGUCUGUGGCAGGGUACACGUGUAUGAGAGUGUCUGCGGCAGGAUACGCGUCUAUGAGAGUGUCUGCGGCAGGAUAUGUGUGUGAGUGUCUGUGACAGUGUACGUGUGUGCGAGAGUGUCUUUGACAGGAUACGUGUGUGUGAGAGUGUCUGUGGCAGGAUACGCGUCUAUGAGAGUGUAUGCGGCAGGAUAUGUGUGUGAGUGUCUGUGACAGUGUACGUGUGUGCGAGAGUGUCUGCGGCAGGAUACGUGUGUGUGAGAGUGUCUGCGGCAGGAUACGCGUCUAUGCGAGUGUCUGCGGCAGGAUAUGUGUGUGAGUGUCUGUGACAGUGUACGUGUGUGCGAGAGUGUCUGCGGCAGGAUACGUGUGUGCGAGAGUGUCUGUGGCAGGGUACGUGUGUAUGAGAGUGUCUGUGACAGGGUACGUGUGUAUGAGAGUGUCUGUGGCAGGGUACAUGUGUGUGAGAGUGUCUGUGACAGGGUAUGUGUGUGUUAGAGUGUCUGUGACAGGGUACGCGUGUGUGAGAGUGUCUGUGGCAGGGUACGUGUGUGUGAGCGUGUCUGUGACAGUGUACGCGUGUGUGAGAGUGUCUGCGGCAGGAUAUGUGUGUGAGUGUCUGUGACGGUAAGUGUGUGUGAGAGUGUCUGUGACAGUGUACGCGUGUGUGAGAGUGUCUGUGACAGUGUACGCGUGUGUGAGAGUGUCUGUGACAGUGUACGUGUGUGCGAGAGUGUCUGCGGCAGGAUACGUGUGUGUGAGAGUGUCUGCGGCAGGAUACGCGUCUAUGAGAGUGUCUGCGGCAGGAUAUGUGUGUGAGUGUCUGUGACAGUGUACGUGUGUGCGAGAGUGUCUGCGGCAGGAUACGUGUGUGCGAGAGUGUCUGUGGCAGGGUACGUGUGUGUGAGAGUGUCUGCGGCAGGAUACGUGUGUGUGAGAGUGUCUGUGGCAGGGUACAUGUGUGUGAGAGUGUCUGUGGCAGGGUACGCGUGUGUGAGUGUCUGCGAUAGGAUACGUGUGUGUGAGAGUGUCUGCGGCAGGAUAUGUGUGUGAGUGUCUGUGACGGUAAGUGUGUGUGAGAGUGUCUGUGACAGUGUACGCGUGUGUGAGAGUGUCUGUGACAGUGUACGCGUGUGUGAGAGUGUCUGUGACAGUGUACGUGUGUGCGAGAGUGUCUGCGGCAGGAUACGUGUGUGUGAGAGUGUCUGCGGCAGGAUACGCGUCUAUGAGAGUGUCUGCGGCAGGAUAUGUGUGUGCGAGAGUGUCUGUGGCAGGGUACGUGUGUGUGAGAGUGUCUGCGGCAGGAUACGUGUGUGUGAGAGUGUCUGUGGCAGGGUACGUGUGUGUGAGAGUGUCUGCGGCAGGAUACGUGUGUGUGAGAGUGUCUGUGGCAGGGUACGUGUGUGUGAGAGUGUCUGUGGCAGGGUACGUGUGUGUGAGAGUGUCUGAGGCAGGGUACGCGUGUGUGAGUGUCUGCGAUAGGAUACGUGUGUGUGAGAGUGUCUGUGACAGGGUACAUGUGUGUGAGAGUGUCUGUGGCAGGGUACGUGUGUGUGACAGUGUCUGUGACAGUGUAUGUGUCUGUGAGAGUGUCUGCGGCAGGGUACGUGUGUGUGAGAGUGUCUGCGGCAGGGUACGUGUCUGUGAGAGUGUCUGUGACUGGGUAUCUGUCUGUGAGAGUGUCUGCGUCACCCCACCCCCAGUGCACUAGGUGACCUGCCCCACCCAGAGGCACAGGAGAAAAGAACCACUAGCCCAAAGUAGAGGCUAGUUGAAGUGGCAGGAAUGGGGGGGCGAAUGAAGUCAGUAUUUAAUGUGAGGAGUCGUAGAGGGGAGAGGAAAAGAAAAGGAGAUAAAUGCAAAAAAGUAAAAAACUAAGGAUUCUAUUUAUAUAUGAUGAUUGUGGAUGAUUGGAGCCGUAAUUGUCAAAAAGAAAUUAGUAAAUAAAAAAUUAUCACACAUAUACACUCCUCAAAAAAAUUAAAGGAACACUUUGAAAACACAUCAGAUAUCAAUGGGGGAAAAAAUCAUGCUGGAUAUCUAUACUGAUGUAGACUGGGUAAUGUGUUAGGAACGAAAGGAUGCCGCAUCGUUUGAUGUAAAUGAAAUUAUCAACCUACAGAGGGCUGAAUUCAAAGACACCCCGAAAAUCAAAGUGAAAAAUGAUGCGGCAGGCUAGUCCAUUUUGUUGAAAUUUCAUUACAGUAACUCAGAAUCAUACUCAGUAGUUUGUAUGGUCCCCACGUGGUUGUAUGCAUGCCUGACAAUGUCGGGGCAUGGUCCUAAUGAGACCAUGGAUGAUGUCCUGGGGGAUCUCCUCUCAGAUCUGGACCAGGGUAUCACUGAGCUUCUGGACAGUCUGAGGUGCAACCUGGUGGCAUCGAAUGGACGAAACAUAAUGUCCGUGGGGGGCAGUCAAUGGUAUCAAUUCCUUCAUCCUCCAGGAACUGCCUAUAUGCUCUUGCCACAUUGUCGUGCACCAGGAGGAACCCAGGACCCACUGCACCAGCAUAGGGUCUGACAAUGGGUUUAAGGAUUUUAUCCUGAUACCUAAUGGCAGUCAAGGUGCCGUUGUCUAGCCUGUAGAGGACUGUGCGUCCCUCCAUGGAUAUGCCUCCCCAGACCAUCACUGACCCACCACCAAACCGGUCAUGCUGAACAAUGCUGCAGGCAGCAUAACGUUCUCCAUGGCUUCUCCAGACCCUUUCACGUCUGUCACAUGUGCUGAGGGUGAACCUGCUCUCAUCUGUGAAAAGCACAGGGCACCAGUAGCAGACCUGCAAAUUCUGGUAAUCUAUGGCAAAUGCCAAUCGAGCUCCAUGGUGCUGGGCAGUGAGCACAGGGCCCACUAGAGGACGUUGGGCCCUCAAGCCACCCUCAUGAAGUCUGUCUCUGACCAAACAAUCAGAAACAUUCACACCAGUGGCCUGAUGGAGGUCAUUUUGUAGGGCUCCAGCAGUGUUCAUCCUGUUCCUCCUUGCACAAAGGAGCAGAUACCGGUCCUGCUGAUGGGUUAAGGACCUUCUAUGGCCCUGUUCAGCUCUCCUUGAAUAGCUGCCUGUCUCCUGGAAUCUCCUCCAUGCCCUUGAGAUUGUGCUGGGAGACACAGCAAACCUUCUGGCAAUGGCACGUAUUGAUGCGCCAUCCUGGAGGAGUUGGACUACCUGUGCAACCUCUGUAGGGUCCAGGUAUCGCCUCAUGCUACCAGUAGUGACACUGACCGUCGCUAAAUGCAAAACUAGUGAAAAAACGGUCAGAAAAGAUGAGGAGGGAAAAAUGCCAGUGGCCCCCACCUGUUAAACCAUUCCUGGUUUGGGGGUCGUCUCAUUGUUGCCCCUCUAGUUCACCUGUUGAUAAUUUCAUUAACACUAAAGCGGCUGAAACUGAUUAACAACCCCCUCCGCUACUUAACUGACCUGAUCAAUAUCCCAGAAGUUUAAAAAGUGUUCCUUCAAUUUUUUUGAGCAGUGUAUAUUAAUACAUAGAUAUGAAUGUCCAUACAUACACAGACACACUUUCAUACAUAUCUGUAAUGAUUGAAACAUACAAUACAUGAAUUAAACAGUAAUAAUAAUAAUUAAUAAAAAUAACUGCAAAAAAGUAAGGGGGCGGUGGGCGUUGAGGUAGCUUUUAUUCACAAAAUAGUUUGCUGCAAACAUACAUCCAUCCAUCCAUUUUCCAAACCGCUUAUCCUACUGGGUCGCAGGGGGUCCUAUCCCGGAAGCAAUAGGCAAAAGGUAGGGAACAACCCAGGAGGGGGGCCAGCCCAUCGCAGGGCACAUUCAUAUACCAGUUGGGCAAUUUAGCAACUCCAAUUAGCCUCAGCAUGUUUUUGGACUGUGGGGGAAACCGGAGUACCCGGAGGAAACCCCACGACGACAUGGGGAGAACAUGCAAACUCCACACACAUGUGACCCAGGUGGAGACUUGAACCCGGGUCCCAGAGGUGUUAGGCAAUAGUCCUAACCACUGCACCACCAUGCCGCCCCCAGCAAACAUACAUCCAUCCAUCCAUUUUCCAAACCGCUUAUCCUACUGGGUCGCGGGGGGUCCGGAGCCUAUCCCAGAAGCAAUGGGCACGAGGCAGGGAACAACCCAGGAUGGGGGGCCAGCCCAUCGCAGGGCACACUCACACACCAGUCACUCACACAUGCACGCUUACGGGCAAUUUAGUAACUCCAAUUAGCCUCAGCAUGUUUUUGGACUGUGGGGGGAAACCGGAGUACCCGGAGGAAACCCCACGACGACAUGGAGAGAACAUGCAAACUCCACACACUUGUGACCCAGGUGGAGAUUUGAACCCGGGUCCCAGAGGUGUGAGGCAACAGUGCUAACCACUGCACCACCAUGCCGCCCCCCAGCAAACAUACAAACAACCAGAAUUCUAGAAAAGUACUUUAUAUUUGAAUGAAAUAACAAAUAAAACACUUUCAAGUCACAUGAGCCUAUAUUUUAUUCACAACAGAACAUAGAUAAUAUUACAAAUGUCCAAAGGCCGAAGACCUGUAUUGGAUGCCCGUGGUCUUCGGGCCCUCAGACGACUCUGCAUCACUCAUCGGCAUGAUUGUGUCAGUGACAUUACUAAAUGGGCCCAGGAAUACUUCCAGAAAGCACAGUCGGUAAACACAAUCCGCCGUGCCAUCUGCAGAUGCCAGCUAAAGCUCUAUCAUGCAAAAAGGAAGCCAUAACUGAACCUGGUCCAGAAGCGCCGUCGUGUCCUGUGGGCCAAGACUCAUGUGAAAUGGACUGUUUCAGAGUGGGAAAGUGUUCUAUGGUCAGACGAGUCCAAAUGUGACAUUCUUGUUGAUAAUGAAGGGCGCCGUGUCCUCUGGGCUAAAGAGGAGGGAGACCUUCCAGCGUGUUAUCAGCGUUCAGUUCAAAAGCCAGCAUCUCUGAUGGUAUGAGGGUGCAUGAGUGCAUACGGUAUGGGCAGCUUGCAUGUUUUGGAAGGAACUAUGAAUGCUGAAAGGUAUAUAAAGGUUUUAGAGCAACACAUGCUCCCCUCCAGAGGACGUCUGUUUCAGGGAAGGCCUUGUGUAUUUCAGCAGGACAAUGCAAAACCACAUACUGCAGCUAUUACAAGCACAUGGCUUCGUCGGAGAAGAGUCCGGGUGCUGAAUUGGCCUGUCUGCAGUCCAGAUCUUUCACCUAUAGAGAACAUACAGUAAUUACCUGUGACACCCAUGGUGCACUGUGAGCAGGUAUACAGGCCAACAGAGCCUGCAGAUAAUUAUCUGUGACACCCAUUGUACACUGUGAGCAGGUAUACAGGCCAACAGAGCAUGCAGAUAAUUAUCUGUGACACCCAUGGUGCACUGUGAGCAGGUAUACAGGCCAACAGAGCAUGCAGAUAAUUACCUGUGACACCCAUUGUACACUGUGAGCAGGUAUACAGGCCCACAGAGCAUGCAGAUAAUUAUCUGUGACACCCAAGGUGCACUGUGAGCAGGUAUACAGGCCCACAGAGCAUGCAGAUAAUUAUCUGUGACACCCAAGGUGCACUGUGAGCAGGUAUACAGGCCCACAGAGCAUGCAGAUAAUUAUCUGUGACACCCAUGGUGCACUGUGAGCAGGUAUACAGGCCAACAGAGCAUGCAGAUAAUUACCUGUGACACCCAUUGUACACUGUGAGCAGGUAUACAGGCCCACAGAGUAUGCAGAUAAUUAUCUGUGACACCCCUUGUACACUGUGAGCAGGUAUCAGUACUGACUACUUUUGAUAUUGAGUCACAUGUUUUAUGUGAAUUACUUUGUACUGAACUGAAGGCCAGUAUUUGUCACUGUGAAUAUGUUGUUGCAGACGUCCAUCCAGAAAUCAGAGCUGGGGGAAAAGAUAAGGUCCUUAUUCCAAUUAAUUUUUGGUACAAAUAUCAAUGUGUCUGUCGCAGAUGGAGGAUUAUAUAUUCUAGAGGUUUCUUUUUAUUUUUAAGUUGCAGAAUGUUGUCUCAUCUGAGGAGGAUUCAGUGUAUUAUGUCUGUGGUUCAUUUUGGUUUUGAUGCUGGAUUCAGUUAGUAAAUAUUAGAAAAAUUGCUUAUUCUCAACUCGUAUUUAUGGAUUAAGUCUUCGAAUGUCAUGAAAUGACUGUUACUGAAAAGGAGGUGGAGAUGUGUAAUCCCUUUCUGUCCCCGUGAGUGAUAGUGAAUAGUGAUAUUGUGAAGUAGGAAGUCCAGAUCAUUCCAGAUUGGCGUGUAUUUACAGGGUCUGAGAGUACAGUUAGUGAUUUUAAUGGCUUUCCUCUGUGCUGUCAGUGCUGUGGAAAUGGCAGCACUGUGUUGUUAAAGCAGUUUUGUUUCUUUAAUGAAAUUUUGAGUAAGUCUGCAUGUCUGAGAUUUUUACAGUACAGCUGCUCCUGCUGUAACCAUGAGCUGCUGUUACUGCUGUAGUGUGACCAUUUAGUUAAGUCUUGCAGUUGAUUUGCUAAGUAAUAAUUAAGAAAAAUGAGCUUGUAAUCCAACUUGAGAUUUACUUUUCUGUAAUGUGGAAUGUUUGAUUUUGAGUUUUUGUUUUUCCAGCAAAAAUGUGACAUUAAUGAGUUUGAAAGAAUUUUUCUGAAUUUAUUCUGGAUGAGUAAUUUUAUUUUUAUUGAUUGAAGUGGGAGACUCAUCUAUUGUUUUGAAUAAGGGGGUGUAGUUGAGAGUAACCAAGUCAGACAGCCUGUGGGAGAUGUAGAUACCCAAGUACCGGAUAUUUCCAGUGUGAAAUGGACCAUCCUGAUCGGCUGAAUCCCAGGCAUCUUCAGACAGUGAGAAUAUUAUGGGUUUUUUUCCAGUUUAUUGUGUAGUUUGAUAGAUUUGAAAAGGUAUUAAUAAAAUUAAAAUUUCAUAUUUUGAGGGUUUCAUAAAAACAGCAAGAUAUCAUCUGCAUAGAGAUUAAUUUUGUGUUGUUAUUAGUAUGAAUUCCAUUUAUUUCACUGUUCUGUCAUAUUGCUGCCACAAUUGUUUCUAUGAAGAUGGCAAACAGUGAAGGAGAGAGUGGGCAUGCAGGCCGUCUUCCCCGUCGGAGUGUGAAUG